rnacentral:tRNA from 1 species
UCCCUGGUGGUCCAGCGGCUAGGACUCUGAGCUUUCAACUCAGGGGGCCUGGGUUCAAUCCCUGCUCAGGGAA